rnacentral:sRNA from 1 species
UGAUAGUGGAAAGAUACAAAUUUUAGGA